rnacentral:tRNA from 1 species
CGAGAAGUAGCUAAGUGGUUAAAGCAUUUAUUUUUGACUUGUAAAUGAUGUGUUCAAACUCCAUUUCGC